ACAAACUCCAUACACAUAUAUUAAAAUUGGAAUUAUACAGAGAUUAGCAUGGUCCUGUGCAAGGAUGAUAUGCGUAGACUGAAAGAUAUAAUACACACAU
ensembl:snRNA U6 U6 spliceosomal RNA